rnacentral:rRNA from 1 species
CCUACGGGGGGCUGCAGUGGGGAAUAUUGGACAAUGGGGGCAACCCUGAUCCAGCCAUGCCGCGUGUGUGAAGAAGGCCCUCGGGUUGUAAAGCACUUUCAGUGAGGAAGAACGCCUGGUGGUUAAUACCCAUCAGGAAAGACAUCACUCACAGAAGAAGCACCGGCUAACUCCGUGCCAGCAACCGCGGUAAUACGGAGGGUGCGAGCGUUAAUCGGAAUUACUGGGCGUAAAGCGCGCGUAGGUGGCUUGAUAAGCCGGUUGUGAAAGCCCCGGGCUCAACCUGGGAACGGCAUCCGGAACUGUCAAGCUAGAGUGCAGGAGAGGAAGGUAGAAUUCCCGGUGUAGCGGUGAAAUGCGUAGAGAUCGGGAGGAAUACCAGUGGCGAAGGCGGCCUUCUGGACUGACACUGACACUGAGGUGCGAAAGCGUGGGUAGCAAACAGGAUUAGAUACCCCAGUAGUC